UUUUUUAAAGUUCUGACAGUUUUGAGGUGGGGUUAAAUAAAGCUCUAAAUGCCUCAGACUUCCAGUGUAAAGUAUUUUGUUAAUACUCAUUUAAAAAACACAUUUUUCAAAUGAAUGUUUUCCAACUGUCAGAGAUUAUGAAAAGCACUGGCAUUAUGGAGAUACAAUAUGCAGUUCUGUCCUCAAAAAUUCAUAGUUUAGUGAGGAAUACAGACAAACCAGAAAAAAAAAAUAUAGACUAUUCAUAGUUGUUAGGGGGCUCAGAACUAAGAGGGCCAAGGCAAAGGACUCUUGAGAGUGUUUUAAAUUGAUAGAGAUAACGGCAAAGAAGGCCUCAGUAAUUGAGUGCCAUAGUUUAUACUCACGUUAGGUAAACUGUAUUGUAUUGUUAGAUGGAUUAGUCAGCUAACUUUUCAGCAUCUCUAUCUCCUCAUCUUAAGCAGAAUGAAAGAACAGAUUUUACUCACAAGGUUGUCAUGAAGAUUAAAGGUAUGUAUACAUCUUCCUGAACUCCUCCAAUGUCUGCACUUAUGGCCAGACCACCUGAUAUUGAAGCAGCACUUAACUAUAGAGCUAACAACCAUACUAGAAGUCUCUGCCUUUAUAGUCUUGACUGGCAUCAAGAAGGAAGUCAGGAGAGGUUAUUUAUAAGCUCUGAGGCCUCCAAAUUUUGAUGGGCCAAAGAACAACAGUAUUAUACUAUUUUCAAAGCUAAACAAAAGGAUAAAAAUCAUCUGUGAACCAGAGGUUUGAACUUGGGACCUUGUGCAUGGUAAUGUGUGUGCUAUAUGAAGUGUACCACCACCUGGGCCCGGAUCUGAAUCUUCUAAUCAAGACUGAACAAACAUUGUGUCCUCUCCUCAGAAGAUGAGUGUCUUCUCUGACACAACCUGAGGGCGUUGAGGGACUUUACUGUUCCAUGCCAACUUUUUCAGAUACAAAGAGACAGAGGAAGAGAGGGGAAGACAUCAGAGCACUGCAGCUUCUCCCCAGCACAAUUGAGGCCAGGCUUAAAGCAGUCACUGGGGCUUGGUGCCAACACUGUGAGGAAUAGAAGGAUAGACACCUGCAGACCUGCUUUACUGCUUGUAAAACGACCCCCUUGCAGAGGUGGAGCCAGGGACUUGAACUGGGAUCCUUGCACAGGUCCUGUGCUUCAUACUAUGUGAGCUUAACCUGUGUGACUCUAGGAACUAUGCUCUAUACUCUCGAGAAACUACACCAGACCUUCAAGUGAUUGUGGAGGUUUCCUGGUUCUCAUCACAGGUCUAGAAACGAUCUCAUGGCAGGAAUAUGAAAGGAGACCAUCUGGGACUGAAACAAGACAAGACUAGAACAACUACAGGAACCCAACAAAUCACUGGUGAGUGCAAACACAUGUGGCUGGUGACAGAGAGGAGCCUAGGGAGAGACUAAGUGGCUGGUAACAGUCCGACGGUCUAUCAGUUGAGACACCACCUCCAGUCUGUUCCACCAACAAGGGAACAGCUGAAGGGAGGAGAGGACUCCCUGGAGACUCACCAAGUGCAACCCUGAGUCUCCAUUGCUACUGCCUUCAGAAUCUGGAGCAGCAG